UACGUAGGCAGCAAGCGUUGUUCGGAGUUACUGGGCGUAAAGGGUGUGUAGGCGGUUCUUUAAGUUUGGUGUGAAAUCUCCCGGCUCAACUGGGAGGGUGCGCCGAAUACUGAGGGACUAGAGUACGGGAGAGGAAAGUGGAAUUCCUGGUGUAGCGGUGAAAUGCGUAGAUAUCGGGAGGAACACCAGUGGCGAAGGCGACUACCUGGCCUGUAACUGACGCUGAGACGCGAAAGCGUGGGGAGCAAACCGG
rnacentral:rRNA from 1 species